rnacentral:rRNA from 1 species
GAUGAACGCUAGCGGGAGGCCUAACACAUGCAAGCCGAGCGGUAGAAGAUCUUCGGAUCUUUGAGAGCGGCGUACGGGUGCGUAACACGUGUGCAACCUACCUUUAUCUGGGGGAUAGCCUUUCGAAAGGAAGAUUAAUACCCCAUAAUAUAUUGAAUGGCAUCAUUUAAUAUUGAAAACUCCGGUGGAUAGAGAUGGGCACGCGCAAGAUUAGAUAGUUGGUGAGGUAACGGCUCACCAAGUCUGUGAUCUUUAGGGGUCCUGAGAGGGAGAUCCCCCACACUGGUACUGAGACACGGACCAGACUCCUACGGGAGGCAGCAGUGAGGAAUAUUGGACAAUGGGUGAAAGCCUGAUCCAGCCAUCCCGCGUGAAGGAUGACGGUCCUAUGGAUUGUAAACUUCUUUUGUACAGGGAUAAACCUACUCUCGUGAGGGUAGCUGAAGGUACUGUACGAAUAAGCACCGGCUAACUCCGUGCCAGCAGCCGCGGUAACAC